rnacentral:rRNA from 1 species
UACAGAGGGUGCGAGCGUUAAUCGGAAUUACUGGGCGUAAAGCGCACGUAGGCGGCUUGGUAUGUCGGGUGUGAAAUCCCCGGGCUUAACCUGGGAACUGCAUCCGAGACUGCAUAGCUAGAGUAUGGGAGAGGGAAGUGGAAUUUCAGGUGUAGCGGUGAAAUGCGUAGAUAUCUGAAGGAACACCAGUGGCGAAGGCGACUCGCUGGACCGGAUCUGACGCUGAGGCGCGAAAGCGUGGGGAGCAAACAGG